GGACCAAGCCUGUUGCUGGGCUGUUUCCAUGGAGAUCACUAUCACCUGUUUCCUCUCGCCUCAUCCACAAACCGAUGGAGAGAGAAGGAUGGCAGCGACGGGAGAGACAGAUUAGAUUACAGAAUCUGGGGAAAUGUUUUGUUUGGGAAUAUCUGAGAGAAGCAGUCAAGAAGGCAUUUCAUUUGAGGAAUUCUGGGGAAACUGAUUCACAAAUGGGAGAAAAAAAAGAUGAUCUGCUUCAUACUUUUAUAAAAUUCUGCAUUUAUACACAAAAAUCUGCAAACGUUGAAGAAUCUGGGGAAUUUUCUGGACUUCCAUUCUGGUACCGAUGAAGAUUAGCAUUCUGGGAGCGUCUGAAACCACCACCGAGUCAUCCAGGGAUGCAUCCUGCAUAUUUAUGCUCCUGCUGCCCGUUUCACCCGUGAACGAGAGCUGCGAGCUUAAAUAACGAAUCAGAGCUGCUCCUCAUGUGGCCGGAUGAGACUAAUGUUGGUUUUCCAGAACGUAAACACGUCCCAAAAUCAUGAAAAGCCAAAGAAAUGUUAAAGGUGAUGAGGAACAGCUGAAGAUCUGGUCCGCUUCCAGCUUGUUUUGAAGGAACCAACAGCUCAGAUGUUUAGAUGCUCAGAGACGUUUGAAGGAUGAGUGACGGAGGGAGGGAGGGAGGCUGGUGUGGGAACGAUGGGACGAGCAGAAGGAGGGAGACACUGAUGGAUGGGAGAGAACAUGAAAAGGUGAAGAGGAGAGGAUUAAAAGGAGUUUGAGCUGCAAAGUUAACGUGAAGAUGUCGGCUCGACCCGUCGGACGGAUGUGGGUUCUUGUCUGGAGAAGCUUCCGAAGCUCCGGGAGAUUCACCGAUAGUCAUCCAUCAGCUCUCCUGCACUUCUCGUUGGACCAGGAGGAGGUCUGAGAAGACUUUGCUGCAGGACCAGGAGGAGGUCUGAGAAGACUCUGCUGCAGGACCAGGAGGAGGUCUGAGAAGACUCUGCUGCAGGACCAGGAGGAGGUCUGAGAAGACUUUGCUGCUUUAAUCUGCUGGAAACAGCGAAAGGAACUCGGCUUCGGUUUAAACGUCUAAACGGGUUUUUAUCCCGUUAACUCCGGCAGACGCAGAGUUGGAAAAGAGCAGCUUAGCAGGUUCUUAAAUGGCCCGUUUGUUUUAGAGGAUGAGGUUCAGCUCAGAUGAUGUGGUUCAGUUCUUCAGGCCUGGAUCAGCUCCUCUAAGCCUGGUCCUGGAUCUGGAUGGGAAAGGUUGGAUUCUUACUGUCGUGGGGAGGGAGGAGGCGGUGACCCCCAUGGAUGUUCAUAAGAUCUAGAUCAGAGGCUGGUUGAACUUCCAGCUGGGCUCUCCUGCUCCUGCUCCAAACAGGUCCUGGUUCUUCCUCCCGGGCCCUGGGAGGAGACCCACAGCUCUGAGAAGACUUUAGGCUCCCUCGGGAAGAGCUGGACCAGGUCCGGGUUUUCCUCUCGGACCUCCACGAGCCCGUCGUGGAGAACCCCAUCAGCCACCGCUCUGCCUUCGUGCUUUUAGGGAUUUUUCCAGGCCUGACAGGAAACUGAUGAACGUGAAGAUGAACGCGGACAACAUGAAAAGUUUCUGAUCAAAGAGUCAAAAUAAAACCUGAUGAAAUAAAAGUGAAGCUUUGAUGUAAAAUAAAAAUGACUUUAACGGCUUCGACCCUGACCCGCUUCCUCCGCUGAUUCCUCACCUCGGACGUUUAGUUUAAAAGAUGCUCCUAACACAAGGAACUCUGGGAUUAAGGAAUCAGAUUAACAAUGAAGACACGACGGAACUGAGAGAUUAAUCACCCCUCAUCACGUCCUUCCAGUCAGCCGAGAGAAUAAUAAUAAUAAUAAUAAUAAUAAUAAUAUACUUUAAACCAGACGUACCUCCAGAUUUUUGUUACCCUCCAAGUAGUUUUUAUUCCACUUUGUUUUUAUUAAAUAAAAUAUCCCUCCAACUCAU